CCUACGGGUGGCAGCAGUGAGGAAUAUUGGUCAAUGGGCGGAAGCCCGAACCAGCCAAGUAGCGUGCAGGAUGACGGCCCUACGGGUUGUAAACUGCUUUUAUACGGGAAUAACGCGCCUUACGUGUAGGGCUUUGCAUGUACCGUAGGAAUAAGGACCGGCUAAUCCCGUGCCAGCAGCCGAGGUAAUACGGAGGAUGCGAGGGUUUUCGGGUUUUUUUGGGGUUAAAGGGUGGGAGGGCGGGCUGGUAAGUGAGCGGGCAAAGGCCGGGGCUCAACCCCGGCCGGCCGUUGAAACUGGGAGUCUCGAGUUGGAGAGAGGUAUGCGGAAUGCGCGGUGUAGCGGUGAAAUGCAUAGAUAUCGCGAGGAACUCCGAUUGCGAAGGCAGCAUGCCGGCUCCACACUGACGCUGAGGCGCGAAAGCGUGGGUAUCGAACAGGAUUAGAUACCCUUGUAGUC
rnacentral:rRNA from 1 species